GUCCUUUUGAUUUAUAUUUAAGGUCUGACCUGCCCACUGAUUUAUUUAAUGGCCGCGGUAUUCUGACCGUGCAAAGGUAGCAUAAUAAUUUGUCUUUUAAUUGAAGGCUUGUAUGAAUGGUUGGACGAGAAAACUUCUUUCUUUAUAAUAAAUUUAUGAAUUUUAUUUUUUAGUUAAAAAGCUAAAAUUUAAUUGUAGGACGAGAAGACCCUAUAGAACUUUAUAAUUAUUAUUAUGUUAAUAUUUUUGGUUCAUAAAUAUAUUGUUUAAUAAUAAUUAUUUUGUUGGGGCGACAAGAAAAUUUAUUUAACUUUUUUUAUUAAAUUUCAUUAAUUAAUGUAUAGAUGAUCCUUUAUUAAGGAUAAUUAGAAUAAGUUACCUUAGGGAUAACAGCGUAAUUUUUUUGGAGAGUUCUUAUCGAUAAAAAAGUUUGCGA
rnacentral:rRNA from 1 species